AUGGAAAUCGUGACUUGCAUGGCUCCAUAAUACGCACGAUGAUUAUGAGUCAUUUCUUUCCUGUUGGCUGUAGGCAAUUUGCGUUGCGCUCUGUUCUCUCUCCUUUUUGGUCAAACAGAAUCAAGCGUAGAACGAUGGAGCUCUGCGUGCGUAAUUGAAUCGCGACGGUGCCGCAGUUGAGUGCAGACUUUAUAGUGAAGUAGGCGAGCGAAACAAAAGAGGAACUAAAAGAAGAAGAAGAAAAUAGAAAAACCCUGAACACGCGUCGAACAAAAGAGACUCAAUGACCGGAAUGGCCUUAGAUAAUGGCAAUGAUCGUGUUGAAAUACAGUAAAUGUAAUACAGUCGACAGGUCAGACGGCCUCUCGUGUUUUUACGGACGAACGGAUGGAAGACUGCCGAGACCCGGGUGGCUUCUGGGGAGGUUCCGGACGGCCGUCGGAUAGGCGCGCGCGUCGCCGUCUGAAAUGACAGACACGCCUCUCUCUCUAUUAAAGAAGAACGCAGUUUUUAAAGUGGAAAAAGAUGGGGGUUUAAAAAAAUAAAAAAUAGGACCAAGAAAAAUGAGAAAUGGGCAAAAGUGAGAGAGCUACAGACGUAAUGUGUAACAGAACAGGACAUGUGACGUCAAUUACAGAAAAAUAGAAAACAAAAAUCAAAUAAGAAAACAAAACACGUGAUGUAUGUAUAUACAUAGAAAUGAAGCUGUGGUUUUUUUUUUUUAACUGACGCAACACAAGUCCGAACCCCGAAAGACACGAGCCUCGUCGAUAUUCAUCUGGCGGAAGAUGGAGAAAAAAAAAAAAAAGAAAUGUUGGGAGAAAUGGGACACGACAGCUGACG